AUUUAAAAUAGUUUGAAUUAUUUAUUUUUCUACUAUAUAAAUAUAAGUUAUUUAAAAUAUAACAUAAAAAUGUAAACAAAAAAUUUAUUAAAAAUGUCAUUAUGAAUGGGUGUUGACUAAAACUGUUCUCACAUUCAACACGGGGAUGAAAACAAGAAAUAAAACAAAAGAACUAACACAACAUUCACUGGACAGUCAGGUCACAUUCAAGUUGGUGGAAGUACAGACACGAGUGUGGUACAUCUGCUGGUGUGCUUUCUAUACAUCAAGUGUCAUUGAAUUGCAAAAAAAAAAAAAAAAAAAAAGAAUACC